rnacentral:tRNA from 1 species
UGGGGGAUCUGCUAAUUGGCAGGCGACUGGACUUUGGAUCCAGAGAUGAAGGUUCGAAUCCUUCUCCCCCAGCCA